CGGCUAACAUAGUGCCGGCAAAAUCUACGGUGAGGCAGUGGUAGUCCAAAACAAUCAUACCAUACUUGGACAAAAUGUGGUAUAUAUCAUGUAAAUCUUCUACCCCGAGAUGUGCUACUAUACAAUGCCUCUGAUCAAUGCCUCAAAUUGGUCCUCUUCUGGCAUGUCCUUGGAGAAGCAAUGAUAAAAAAAAAACUGAAACAAAUAUAAGCCAUAUAUGUCAGGCUGUUAGGCAUGCUAAUACUCAACUUGGUUCUGAAAUUUUCUUGUCGCUAUUUAGCCAAGCAGCCCCAAAGAUGCUGAGCGCCUGAGCGAGAGGAUGAUCCCAACGUCGGUGCCAGCUAGCAGGCGAGGAGGGGCCAGUCGUCUACACCACGCCUAGCUGUGACCCCACUUGUCGUCGUCCGGGCGAGCUACCAGGUGAAUAGAAGCAGGAAGGCAGGUGGCGGCGGGAACUUGGGGAGCAGGUGGCGGCUGCACCUCGAAGCGGUGUCGGGGACAUGGUGGCUCCGUUCCACCGGCCAUAGGAAGGCAUCCACACCGGUGGCUGGAGAUCGAGCGGCUGCGACGUCCAGGGGCUAGGAUCCCGAAGCGGUAAGGCAGGAGGGGCGAGGGAGCAAGGGCCAGAGGCGCUCCGUUCCGCUGGCGGCGAGAGGAGGUAGGCGGCGCCAAUCGGCGCAGAUCGAGCGAGGGAAGGACCGGAACGGGAUUCCCUUUUCUUUGCCCGCCUAGCAGAUCGAGCGAGGAAAGGAACAGAACGGGAUUUUC
rnacentral:lncRNA from 1 species